UUCGCUAAAUACUACUCACCCGGCCGUCGCCCCCUCACUCACCAACUACUCACCCGGCCAUCGCCCCCUCGCUCGCUCACCAGUCGCUCGCUCCUCUCCGCUCCAACAGUACGACAAAAUGGUUUCUACGGAUGAAAGAUGUCAACGUCUAUUUUGUGAGUCAUGCGCACGAAUUCACGAGAAUUCCUUCAAUCAUGAUAUUUUUCGAGCACAUAAUCUCGAUUAUAUCAUUUGAACUGGUAUAUUUGUUUGCGCUUUUGAGGGAUGUGCCCAAGAAAUACCUGCACCACUGUAUAGUCAUCAUCAGAGGACGUGCCCGUACAAAAGACUUACGUGUCCAAUAUGUAAUAAUGGAUUUGCCUUGAUAUCACUGAGGUCACAUCUUCUGAGAGAACAUCAGUUCAACCAUUACCAGCUUAAUUAUGGUUCUCCCAGCACUGGUCAUAAUAUCUCCAAAGUUAGAGGGUGUGUUUUUAGCGGUAGAGAGGAAGACUUUGUGUUCUUCAUUAGAGGCGCAACCCUUUAUUUUGUAUGGCCUGGUGCAUCAGCUGCUGCUUCAUCUCAAGCGUCUGCUUCUUCAUCAGCGUCUGCAAAUAUCCAACUGAUGGUGAAUUUGGUCGCAGCUCAGACUCAGCAGGAUAGUGGGUCCUACACAGAUCCACCGCUACCGAGGUGUACUGAUGUUGUUCGUCUCUUUAGCUUCAGACAUCUCACCGCAUAAAAUAAUUUUAAGAUUUCUGUAUUGAUAUAUUAGUUGUUUAUGUGUAUGUCUUUAUUUAUCUA